UACAGAGGGGGCAAGCGUUGUUCGGAAUUACUGGGCGUAAAGGGCGCGUAGGCGGCCUUCUAAGUCGAACGUGAAAUCCCCGGGCUCAACCCGGGAACUGGCGUCCGAGACUGGAAGGCUUGAAUCCGGGAGAGGGAUGCGGAAUUCCGAGGUGUAGCGGUGAAAUGCGUAGAUAUCGGAGGAACACCAGUGGCGAAGCGGGCGACCCUGGGGCCAAGUACUGGACGCUGACGGUGCGAAAGCGUGGGGAGCAAACAGGGAGUUAAGAA
rnacentral:rRNA from 1 species